UGCCUCCCCCUCGUGUUCACUGGCUGCAGUCCUGCAGGGUGGGCCCUACUCAACCUGCCAUUGGCUGCGGGACAGAUAGUUUGCAUACGGGGCGGGGCAACUGGGCCCGAUUGGGGCCCGCCUUGGGUGUGAGAGUGGCCACCGCCGCCGCUGAAGUUGAUUCAAGAGCUGGCGAUGGCCCCACACCGGGGUCACAGGUGAAACAGGAGGGUUACAAGGGUUCAAGGCUGUGCAGUCCCGAGAACAGUCACCGUCGAAGGCAUCCAAAGCAUCUCUGGGCAGGCACAGGUGUGAACUUAAGCCAACAGGACCAAUGCCUACAGGACCCACUUCCCCAGGGCCACCUCUGGAACUUCCUUCAGGAAGACAGCGGCAGUCUGAGUGAUCCUGCCUGUUUCUGCCUCUUCAGUGAUGAGGGAGUCAGUACCAUGUAUAUCUCUUUGUGGACUCUGGGACAAGCCUCUCCCACGGACACUCCUGCUAGGUGUUCUCAAGUCCAUCUGAAUGUGGAAAAGGAUAUCUAGGGAAGCUAUAGGCUACAGGGGCUAGGACAUUUGUAGCAGAUCUGGUCCCUGGAGAUAGAGGGGUUUAGUCCAGACCUUUCCAGACUGAUGCUGGCCUGUUUUGUCACCACAGUGGUGUCAAACUCAGAGUGUUGUGCAGAUGAGGGGAGGUUUAUGUGGCCUCUGGGUUGAGAAACUGCAAGGCUGACUCUCAUUGCUGGACAGCUGCUUUCAGGGCAGAGCCUCUGAACUAGGCUUCUCCCACUUCUGUACUGGAAAUGAACAAGGCCACCGAGACUCGGAGACCGCCUAGCAGUGUGGCCCUGACUUCUGGUUGGAUUGCCCAGAGGAGACUGCCUACCCCACACUGAUAGCUGGUAAGGUCCUAACAUCACCCAUGUCACUUCAGCAUACCUCACACUAUUGUUUCCAAAGUAAAGUUGCAAGUUCCAAAGUAAACUUUUCAUUAACCCA